GCGUUCAAGUGGAUCUCCUCCCGUCCUGUGCCACUCGAUCCUCGCUGCUUGCUAAAAAGUUAUUGAAUACAUUUGUUUCUUUCAUUAUGAAAGUCCAGUCUUUUUGACACGCAUACAUUUUCUACAGUAGCAACCACAGUGCACACACACGGUCUUCCAGCCUGCUCUGCUUGUGUGCCUUUCUGUUGUGAGCUUCUUUCUUCCAUGUGGCUAUGUUAGGGACCUCCAUGAUGCUUCCCGAGUGCUUACUAUGUGCCAAGCGCUGCUUUCAGCAUUUUAUAGGUUUUCACUCUUUCAAUCCUCCAAGAAGCUGCGAGGGCCUUCCUUUUAUUAUCCCCAUUUUUCAGAAGAGGAAUCCGAGGCCCUGGGACAUACAUCCACCCACCCACCCGGGCCCACGCUCACUUUAAUAACCUGGAAUGGGCAAGGACUAAGUCUAGCCAGAGCGUCAGCCUCGCUGGCGUCCUCACUGGCCAUGGCCCUGCAGCCUUGCUCUUCAGCUCCUGGAAGCCUCCUGCCCUUGGUGGACACCCAUUUUGCUCUCUAGCAAAUGGAUAGAAAAGUUUAUGUGAGUCUGGCUGGGCGGGGUGGCUCACACCUGUAAUGCAGCUCGUUGGGUGGCUGAGGCAGGCAGAGCAUUUGAGGUCAGGAGUUCGAGACCAGCCUGGCUGACACGAUGAAACCUUGUCUCUACUAAAAACACAAAAAUUAGCUGGGUGUGGUGGCGUGCGCCCGUAAUCCCAGCUACUUGGGAGGCUGAGGUAGGAGAAUUACUUGAAUCUGAGAGAUGGAGGCUGCAGUGAGCCGAGAUCAUGCCACUGCACUCCAACCUGGGCGACAGAGUGAAACUCCGUCUCAAAAAAAAAAAAAGAAAAGAAAAAAUGUGUAUUUGAGUCUGGGCCUCGGCCUCUGUUGGACUCUGAGUAAAUCUUAAUUUAGCACCCUGAGCUGCAACUCCUUCCUCCUGACCCCGCCACCUGCACGUGCCAUUCUAAGUGGCUGCGCCCCAGGCUGCUCAUCCCUUCCACCCUGAAUCCCCAUACACAGCGACCCCAUGGGGUUUUUGUCCUGCUCCUUCAUAUUAACCUGCACUGGUGACUCCUUUGUCCCAUCUUCCCUCGGCACACAGUAGGGCUGCUGGCAGCAGGUGAGACCUGGGGCAAGGGCUCAGAAAGGCAAGAUGCCAUUUGGCUAUGCCACCAAGUGAGCAGUUUCUCUUCUUGCUCUCCCAGGUGGCGUGAAGGGGAGAUGGCUGCUUUCUCCUGGGAAGGGAGCAGAUGCCUGGCCCAGGACCAAAUCAAAAGGUCUGAAAAAUGAUAUUUUUUGUCCUAAUGUGUAAAUUUUGACAAUUUGCAAAUUUGUAGAUUCUUUAGAAUGGAACUAACUCAAGCCCUUCAUUCUGCAGCUGAGGCUCACUGCCCCCAGUGGGCAGUGGGACCAGGGGUUUCUGAGGCCAGGGCAUGGCCCAGCCCUGCUGCUCCCAAGAUGGCACCUGGCUUGGAGGGGUGAGGGGCCCUGUUAGUCUGACUUGAAGAAGACCAGCCUUCCACACUCACUUGGUGCCCUGACAGGAAUCAAGCUGUCAGGGGGCGCAGUGAGGCCCCAGCUCCUUACCAGCAAGCCUGCUCAGCUGCGAACGUGAGCCGCCGGGCUGCAGCUCUCUAGAGGUCCGUGUCCCCACCGCCUGGCCCCAUCUCAUGUCACAUUCCCCCGAGGUCUCAUUCCACUCGGCUAAUCUCCAAGAACACCGGCCAGGGCAUUGGCUUUCGGGUCCUCUUAAAGACCAAAAAGUAAAGCGCUCCCCCGUGGGUGCUGGACAGCUUGGGAGGGAUUUGGGGCUGUGGGUGGUGAAAUCACAGCCCUGGGCACACACCUGCCGGCCCCAUGUCACUGACAGGCUGCUCGGAGGCUUGGGGCUCCAGUGAGAGCAUAUAAAUAUUGUUUUAAAAAUAUAUUUGCAACAAAAUAAAUCCCCCGUGUCUGCAGAACUUGCUCUGGGCAUGUACCCACUCCCAAUCCAUCAAGAAACAUGCCCUUUGCUUUGUAUUUGUAAAAACAGAAACAAAACCAAAAACAACCCACAAGCGAACAAACAAAUUAAAUCCCCCCCCACACAAAAUGUUUAUUCUAAUUAUGCAAGAAAUGGAUUGAUAAUUAAUACACGCAUUAGUAAAAAUCAAACAUGGCAGAUAAAGCCAUUUUUAAUGCCUCCCUCAGUCCCUCCUCACCACCCCCCAGCAAAUUAACUGCUCUUCUCAGUUUCGGGCGUCUGGUUCCAGAUAUUUUUUUCUGUGCAUUUGCAUAUGUAGAUAAAUAUACCUCUAAAAUCUACGACUUUGUUUAUUUCUUACAUAAACUGUAUCAUAGUGUACAUUUCCUUUCGCAGCAGCUUGUGUUUCUUCCUUCAAGAGUCUGCUUAGAGAUAAUAAAGAUCAACACUAUUCCUUAUAAUGACACCUCAGUAUCCUGCGAGCUGUACACACCAGAGUUUAUUUAAUCACCUUGCUGCUGGCAUGAAAGCCUCAGGUCCUUUACCCUGGUGGGGGUGAAUUGUGGCAGCAGGUGUAAGUAAUUGCUGAGAUUUGGGUUUGGGGAGUGGGCUCAUGAGUGUUUAUGACAUUAUUAUAAAUGAAUAUAUGAGUGCAUAAAUUAGCAAAAUAAAAGGGGGCUUUUCUGGACCAAUGAUGAGACAGUGUUUAUGAACAAAAGAUCAUGAUUAAUCCAGUUCUGCACAAAAUACUGAGGUCCAUUAGAAGACAAUAGGUCUUGGCUGUUUCAUUCCUUUUAAGAGCUAUUUAAUAUUCCACGGUAUGUAUGCACCAUUGUUGAUUACACUCUUUUCUACUGUUGAAAAUCCCAGCUGAAGGUGCUCUGGGGGAGGAGAAGCUUUGGUCACAGUCCUAGCCAUCAGGGUGGGUCACAGAUUCAUAGGUGUUCAUUAAAUUAUUUUUUUAAAAAAGAAUACAUAAAAAUGGUCACAAAGCGUGUCACAAAUCGAGGUUUUAAUUAAUAUGAUUCUGCUCAACUAAUGCCCGACAAAAAAGAUCUAAGCUGUUUCCGUUUUUUGUUGCUGUUACCAAUGACACUGCAGUGAGCAUUCUUGCAGCUAAAUCUGUAAACACAUCCUCGACUGUUCCUUUUCCCCAGCUUCUUAGAGAUGGGGUGGUGGGUUAAAUUGUUUGCAAAAGUUUAUUUUCAUUGAGUGAUCUUUCUAAAAUGGCAUUUUGACCUUAUUACUGUCUUGCUUUAAAGCCUCCAUCUGACUUCCUGGAGCUUCCGGGACGGGGUCCAAAAAAUAAGGCCUUAUCCUGGCAUGGAAGACCCUUUAGGGUCUGUCGUGGAACUCGCCAGCCUCAGCCCCUCCCCACUGGUGUUUCCCUGCUAGGCGCACCUCACCCCCACGCGGCUACCUGUUCCUCUCAGCGGGCUCCCUGCUUCUUACGCUUCGCGUGGCCAUGCCUUUUCAGCCAGCUUCUCCCCUUCCUUAAAGAGCAGGCUUGAAAUAUCGCUGUUGGGGAGCCCAAAGUUAGAUGUGCCCCAAAAAACACUGUGUUCAGAAGCCCCCCGAAGCCCUGACCCUGGAAGUGGGAUGCCUCACUGACAAUUUUUUCCCAGUUAAAGGGAAUGUUUUGCAUUUUUCUAGAAUUGAUGAAACUGGCCAACUGUUAAUCACCCUCCUUCCUUUGUCCCUUUCUAGAAGCCCUGGGCUCCCCCAGUGUUGCCUGGAUCUGACUUUGCCUCAGUGAAAACCGCCUCAAAUUCUUUCUUGCACCGAUGGGCAGAUGGGCAGUGUCAGAGGAUCGUGUCAUCUGUCCUGUGGCGCUGGUUGGCUUGGUCAAGUCAGUGUUCAAACUAUUUCCUGCUCUUUCAAGGGGAUCCGGGGCUCUAGAAGAUUAGAGGACUUUGAGAGGUUAGUGACUUGCCCAAGGUCGGCUAGGAAGCAAGACCCAGGAUUCCAACUCAGGUCUGUGUGAUUCCUCUGCAAAAUUGAGAGGUGGAAGGAUGGAUGUCAGGUCUGAUGGAUGGAUGGAUGCCUGCAUCAAGGUGCAUGCAUAGAUGGAGAGAUGGCUGGCUACCUGAUGAAUGCUGGUAAGAUGGAUGAGUGAAUUGAAGCACAGGUGGUGGAAGGAGAGAGGAAUGAGAGAGAAUAGUCAAUUUCUCACCAAGAUCAAAGGCUUACUUGAUCUUUGAAGAGAGGUUUCCUCUGAAUGGAGCUUGCUGGUGAAGCUCCUGCCUUCUGUUCUGCUUCUGAGUGCACUGACUGGCUCAGGUGGCUCUGGGACAACAGCUGGGAUGCCAGCUUACAGGGACCAAGUCCCAGCUGUGGUGCUGGAGCUGCUCAGUGGCAACUCUCCGUCUCUGCUGCUUUCACGCAGCACUGAGGAAUAGCAGGCAUCCGCCUUUCCACUGGCUCUCCUGGAUGACUAAGCCCUAAGCCCCAACCGCAUACUCAGCCCUUUGCUGGCACUUGGCAUAAUUUUAUCUCCUCUAAAUCAUCACAGCCACCCUCCAUGAUAGCAAUUUCCAUUCUCAAUUAAGUGAAAAUGAAAGCGAAGUUUAGGAGUGGUAAGUGACUUACCCAAAAUCAUACAGGGAGGAAAUGCAGACCCAGGAUUUGAACUCGAGUCUUCUUUCCUUCCAAACUCAUCCCCUCAACCUGUUUAUUUCCUUUUCUCUAUGACCAUGUCUGAAGAAAUCUGCCUUGGGGUUGUCUCAUGUUGGACUCACUCUCUUGGUCUGUCAGUGAGCUGAACUUCUCAUCCAAUCAAAUCCAAGCUUAUUUCCCAAGUAAUAUCUCUAGUGUAUUCUAUUUGUAAUGAUCACACAGACAAGGGCCACACAUAUCACUGGCAUCCUACAGUACAAUUAAUCAAGUCAAAUUAGAUUCCUGGCAUCUCAUAUUCUGACUGAAUGCUAAUGGUAGCAGAUGUAAAAAUGACUCCAUUGCAAGGCAAGGAGGGAGGGGACUGGAUGUAGGGCUGAAUGGCAAAUCAGUAAGCCUUGCUGCAGACCUGGGUUAACAUUAGCAGAUAGGUUUUGAGAACCUGCUCAUGGGCUAGGCCCUACUUCACACAUUCUAGGUGCUAAGGUUUCAAUCUCAGCUUUGCCAUUGACUACUUUUGUGAGUUUGGACAGGUAUUUAAUUUCUGGGCCCCAUUUUCUUCAGUUGUACCAAUAGUACCUUACUAAUGAGUACUUGAGGAUUAAGUGAGGCAAACAUAUAAAUUCCUUAAAAGAGAGCAUUCCAGGCUGGGCAUGGUGGCUUAUGCCUGUAAUCCCAGCACUUUGGGAGGCUGAGGUGGGAGGAUCCAUUGAGCCCAGGAGUUUGAGACCAGCCUGAGAAACAUAGGGAGACCCCAAUCUCUACAAAAUAUUUAAAAAUUAUCUGGGUGUAGUGGUGCACAUCUGUGUGUGGUCCUAGUUACCCGGGAGACUGAGCUGGGAAGAUUGCUUGGGCCUGGGAGGUCAGGGCUGCAGUGAGCUGUGAUUGUGCCACUGCACUUUAGCCUGGGUGACAGAGGGAAACCCUGUCUCCAAAAAAAUAAAAAUAAAAAACAAAAAAAGAAUGCUUUCCAGAUGAUGAGCAUUCAAUAAAUACUUACAGUGACAAUUACAGUUGUUAUAAGUAUUGUUAUUGAGGUGUCAUUUGAUAUCGUUGGCAGGUAAGAAUCAUUAUCCACAUUUUACCAGUAACAGAACAGGUGCUCGGAGAGAGAGGCCUGUGUGCUUGUCCUUGGAGAAUGAAUCAGUGAAAUAGAAACAGAAAUACUAAUUUAAAACUAGAAGUUCUAGUGAUUGAAGAGUUCUGUGCAGCAAAUGGGCAUGAUCCAUCUAAGGAAAGAUGAAGCCCUAAGAGAGGUGAGACUCCUGUGAAGGAAUUUCCUUGUAGUAUAGGGGCUUACACAGGGGUUGCAUGGGAGCUGGGAAGAAGCUGAGAUAAAUAAUUACAGUCCUCUGAAUCCAAGUUUCUGAGGUUGAAAUUUAUUAAACUUCAUGGUUUCUAGCAGUAGUGAGCAAGGUUCCCCAGUUCUCAGAUAUGAUUUCAUGAAACUUCUUUCCCUACCUGUUUUUUUGGGGGAGAAAUAGUCACUUUAGAAAUGUUUCUUGACUUGCUCUUUUGGAAGUGGCCAGUUGGAAAAAUUCUGAGUCUCUUACCAUGGGGGGCAUGAGGACUGGGAAGCCUCCUCCUCUUCCUGGGGCAGCACCUCUGUAACUUGAGCCUAGGUGGCAUGUGGCUGCACAUCACAUGGGGCACCUCUUGCGGGGUGCAAUUGGAUGCCCUAACAGCCAGGUGGGAGGAGAUGGGUUUAGCAUUGGUGCGACUUGCUGGGCUGUGUUGAGGUUAAGCUGUGAUCCUAGCAUUGCCUGACUUCAGAUUCUGUGCCAGUCCUGUAAGAACUGCUACCCCUGCAACUCCUCCAAGAUGGACAGUUUAUUUAUUCAUCCAGGUCCAAUGGUACAUCCUGGGGAUUCCCUCUGUUUCUGGGGCUGCCUGUGUGGGAAGUCAGAGAAACCUUCGCACCUCCCCCCCCAGCCCCUGCCACGUGAUUUAUUCUCACACUUAUAUUGUGGGCUGGCAGUGGGACAUUGCUGCCAAAACGAGGCUUCGGGAAGAAGUGGUAAGGCCGACUCCGGAGCGACACUGCCCGGGUUUGCCUCCCGGCUCAGCAUCUCCUUUCUGUGUGACCACUUCUAAGUCACCUAUCUUCUCUGAGUCUCAGUUUCCUUAGGUAUAAAAUAGGACUAGUAAUGCUUUGCUCAAAUAUCAUCAUCUCCGUGAGGCCUCCUCCCUUGUGUCACUCCCUACCCGCUUCCUGCUUUAUUUUCCUCCCUAGUUCUUAUCACCAUCUUUUAUCCCGUGCAUUAGGCUUACCUUUUCUGAUGAUUUUCUGUUCCUAUCUCCACCCACAGGGAUGUUAAUUCUCAUGGGAUGGGGGUCUGUCCGUUUUUCUCACUACUGUAUCCCUGGCACUUAGACCCAGCAACGGUACAAAGUGCAUGGUCAAAAAUUUUGGGGGAAAAAUUUAUGAGAUACUAUUGAACUGUAUCCACCCCAGAGGAGUGUCAAUGUAUGCAAAGUAGGCAGUGUGGUGCUUGGUACAGAGUAUGCAUUCAAUAAAUAUUGGCUAAUUAUGAUUAUUAUGUCUAAUUCACAGGACUGUUGUGAGAAUCAAACGAGAUAAUGUAUGCUGAGGCAUGCUGUGAACACUGCGUGCUGGGUACAGGAGGUACAAUAUUAAUGAUCCCUGCUGCUUGGAGGGAACUUGCACUUAAAAUGUUAUGCUUUUCAUUUUCACACCACUUGGGAGGGAGGAAAGGCUGGUGGGAUGAUCACCACCUGAGGCUCAGGGAGGGGACAGGCCUUCCCCAAGGCCCCACAGUGUGAAGAAGGCAGGGGCAGGUCCCCACACUGGUGAUCUUCCCACGACUCCCUCGUGAAAGUCCCCCAAUGGACAGAUUGAUGUGUAAAUGGCAUUAUACACCUACACCAUAACUCUAUAUAAUAUAUAGAAUUAUUUUCAGGUCCCUGAGUUGCUCUGAGGCCAGUUAUGGCAGGUGGUACACGCCCCGGACAGGCUGUGGGGAGGGUAAGAAGGAAACUGGCUGUGUUUCGUUGGUAAGGCCCAUAGUGAAGCCUCUUUUGGUUUCUUGGAAUCAAGUUGAAAAUCAAGAAUCUCACAGCAUAGACUUCCCCAAGGGCAGUCCCACUUCACAAAAUGAAUUUUCAUUUUCCAAAGCGCAUCCCUUAGUUGGAUUUCUGUUUUUCAGGGUAUUUGUUUAAGCUCUGAUGCUAUGUCCAAAAAAGAACAGGCCCCAACGAUUCCCUGCCCGAGUCCCAAACCCUUGGCUUGAUCUGAGCAUUGAGCUAAUUCAUUUCUUUGAUCAAACUGGGGACUGUUUGACCAAUGGGGUGGGCAUCAUGGGAUGGGGAAAGGGCGGGGUGUGCACAGGUGUGCAAGGCGGGCUACUUGAGGGAUGGGCGAUAGUUCAGGUCACCCUCCGGUUGGACCCACGAGGGCGCUGCAUUCCUCAUUCUACAAAUCGUACAAGUCGGGGCACAAGACAGAGAAGCCAGGUCACGUCUCUGCAGUUACACAGCUCACGAGUGCCUGCUGGGGUGGAACCUGGUCUGUCUGUCUGUCUAACACCAGAGCUCGGGCGCUGCUGCAGAGGGAGCCAAGAUUUGGGUGAGGGAGGGGCUCAGAGGUGGGGUGGAGGGUUUUUUUGUAUUUUUUUUUUAACCUGGUUGCCAUUGGCGUGAAAAUAAUAACAUAACUUUGCUUGGGGACUAGUGCUGCAACUGUCUUGCUGAUGGGGAAACAGGCACAGAGACGUUAGUUUGCUUUCCUGAUGUCACCCAGCUAGUCUGGCGCUGAGGCUGGAUUUGGGAGGCGGGUACUGAGGUGUGAGCAUAUGUGGUGCAACCACUGGGCCCACUGGCUCGUGGUGUGAGCGCAGGUGCAGAUGGCUCAGCGAUCUGGGUUUGAGGGCUUUUACCAAUCCCCCAGCAGUGGGUGUGCUCUGGACUCAAGCUUGUAUAUUUCACACUCUCCCUUGACCCUUCUCUUUAGCCUUCACUGAAAACUCCUGCAAGCCACUGACCCAUGGAAAAUAUUUAAGAAUACAUAUAUUACAUAUAUGUUGUAAAUUUAUAUAUAUAUAUAUAUAUAUCUGGAAAGGGAUUGUAUCCAGGAGAUUUGGGAAUGAUUGUUUAAGGUAGAGGGAGGCAGGGGCAUGAGAGGGGGAAGGAAGGAGGUGGGGACCACCAGUGGUAAUUGUCAUGGGUGGUUUUAACAAUCAAUACAAUAAGAGAGAGGCAUGCCAGCAGCAAGGACGGGAGUGGGUUGUAAACCAGGGAUGGUGAUUAAUUCUUCACAACUGAGGGGCAUUAGAAAAAGAGAUCAGAGUGGUUCGUGGCUAUUAAUUUUGUUAUUAAAAAUAAUCAAGGAAUAAAGAAAUAAGAUAAUAAUAGGCCUUGAAUGGAACAAUUCUGAGAGCGUGUUCUGGGCAAAGGAUUAUGACUAAUCCAGGUCUGGUAACCUGAUAUUAACAAACAAAAAAGGCCUUGUAGGCUAUUUUUCUUUUUUUAACCGGCUUUAUGUUCCAUAGAAUGGGCACACUGGGGUUUCUCUCCCAGAGAAGGUGAGUGCAGACAAGUAAAAGCUGGCUUCGUGGGUGUUGAUUGAACAGUUAAAAAUGAAUGAAUGUGUAAAUAAAACUAGAGACAGCCAAGCAUGUACCAAUGAUGGCAGUGUGUUCCUCACUCCCCAGCUUUAUAAAUAUAUAAUUGAUAAAUCAUUAUUGUAUGUAUUUGUAUUGUAUUUAAGUUGUACAGUGUGACAUUUUGAUAUACAUAUAUAGUGAAAUGAUUACCAUAAUCAAGCGAAUUAACAUACCCAUCACCUCAUGUAGUUCCCUUUUUCCGUGUGUGCAGUGAGAAUACUUAAGGUCUACUCUUUUAGCAAAUUUCAAGCAUGCAAUACAUUAUUGUUAAGUAUAGUCACCGUACUCUGCAUUAGGUCACCAGAACUUACUCCUAACUGAAAGUUUGCAUCCUCUCACUAAGAUCUCCAGAUUCCUCUCACUCCUGACCCCUAGUAACCACCUUUCUAGUCUCUGCUUCUAUGAGGUUAUUCCAAAACAAAAGCCAGGUUCUAGGCUGUUGAGGCUGAGGGUAGGAAGUGUAUCAACAGGUAUACAGAAUAGUCAUUGGUCUUGGGCUAAAUGGUGACUUCAAGUGUAGCGGCUGCAUAGUUAAAAAUGAAUUAGAUGAGUACAAAAGUGACGAAAUGAAAGAAUGUCAAGAAUGGACCACAAAGACAAUGUUUUAUGACCUAAAGAUUAAGAUUCAUCCAUUUAUGUACAAUCGUGGACUAUUUAAAAUAAAACAAGACUUUUACCUCAGUGGAUAAGAAGUAUUUGGAUGUACUAAUCAAUAUUUUUGUUCUGGAUCAGUGGUGGGUUCAUCUGUGUUUAUUGUAUUUAAAUAAAUAAGUGAAAACAUUGAAAAGGGUGAGUAGGAAUCAAAUAUGAUUGUCGCUCCAAGUCUGCAUCAUCUGCAUCCAUUAGGAAGAAUAUCUGGGUUGGUUCCUUCUUGGGUAAGAUGCAUAGGGCCAUAUGUUUGUGAUAGUCAUGAUUCUUGUUUUUGAUUAGAGUGGUGAAUUAAUACAUACUCAUUUGUAAUAAUACAAAUUAAUAAAUGAAUAAUUGCAGAGAGCUAUGCUUGGGCCAGUGGUGAGACUGUCAUGAACCAAAGAUUAUGAUUAAUACUGUGCUUCUCACCUGAUGGCCAUUAAAAAAAUCUAGGUUAUUUCAUCCUUCUUAAUAUCAGCCUUGUGUUCCACAGAAUGGAGGCUCCAGAGUAAAAUUAAUGACACUUUGUCGAUGAAGAUCUUGAUUGUGACCUCUGGGGAAAAUGAGCCAUGAACCAACCAAUGUGAGUAAUGUUUAGUGUUGUUGUUUUGAAGUUGGGUCGUUGGUUGAUGGUUGUUUAUUACAUUAUUAAACAUGAAUCAAUACAUAAAUAAGGUCAAAAAUGACGGGCAUGAUGAGAAUGUCAUGAACCAAGGGUGAUUAAUUUCAUAUAGCAUAACUGUCACCAAAUUGAAAAACAGUAUUACUGGGCUGUUCUCUGUAGCAAAUGAGGAAAGAAAAAAAGGAACACACACAAACACAUACGUAUCCUACAUAUAUAUCACAUGUAUCAUGUGUUAUGUUUAUACAUGUAUCCUAUAUCUAUAUCACACACGUAAUAUGUGUUAUGUUUAUCUUUCAUAUUUUCAGGCUGGGGUGGGUUUAUAUAUGUUUAUGGGGUAAUUAAACAAAUGGAUACAUGUAUAAACAAGAUCAAAGAGAGUCAAGCAUGGACAAAUGAAGACAAUGUAUCAUGAUCUAAGAUUUAUGAUUGCACAGUUCUGUAAAUUGGAGAGACAUUAAAACACAAAUAUUUAUGCUGUUUCAUUCAUUUCAGUAGCAUUCCACCAUUAAUUUAUGCACUACACUUUUGCAUGAACACUUUCCUAUUGAAGAAGUUUGGGAUGUUAAGUGGGUGGCAGAGUCACAUAGGGAAGUAAGGUAUUGGUCGUUUUCUGUUUGUUGAAUAGGAUUCAUGAUUGUUCUUUCAUGAUUUUUGUUUAAAGCGAUAAAUAAAACUUAAAAGGGCCAAGCAUAGAUAAAUGAGGAUAAUAUUUCAUGUAAAGUGAGGCUUAUUAAUUAAAUUAUACACAAGUAAAGGCCAUUAAAAAUGAUACAGGUGUUUAUUUUUCUAAUAGUUGCUGUUUGUUGCAUAGAAUGGACAAAUCAUAGUUUAUGUAGUAAUGCAACAUUUAUGAGAAUUUUGACUCAUACUUGGGUAGAUAAGGUACUUAAAGAAAAUGUAAUUAAUAGUUGAUGUUGUUAAAUCUUGGCUGGAGAGUUGUUUAAGGAUGUUCAUAAAUAAGUAAAUGAAUGAAUGAACAAACACAUGAAUAAAACAAGAGAGGGCAAACAUGGGACAAAGGUGAUCAUAUCUCAUUGUUGUAAAUUCUUUUUAUUGUAUGUAGCUUCAGUAUCCAUUUUGAACCUAAGUUUAACUUUCUCAUUCCAGAAGCAGGUUUAGUCACCCUUGACACAGUUUGCAGUUAUCCACCUCCUCCCAGUUCUUAAUAUGAUAGAUCCAGAUAACUGCCUUGUACAGCCACCUCCAGGAUACUGCCUCCCUAAGGAUCAGCGAGAUACACUGACCCCACAGCCUAUGUGGACCACACAGAUAUACUGGCUUGCUCUAAAUGCACCAGUGAGAACUCUCUGCAGGAAACCUGCUUGGGAAAUGCCGUAGCCUGCAAUACAGGCUUUCCCCUUCCCGCUGGCCCUGUGAGGCAUGCAGGAUCUUUUCUUUAUGGAGCAGAAAUUUUGAAAGUUCAAAGAUCAGUUGAUGAUAUUUAUGUGAGUCUAUUUCUGGGCUUUCUAUUCUGUUCCAUUGAUCUAUUUGUCUGUUCUUUUGCCAGUACCACACUGUCUAUUACUGUAGCUUUGCAGUAAGUUUUGAAUAUGGGUAUUGCCAGUCUUCCAACUUUGUUCUUCUCUUCAAUAUUGUGUUGGUGAUUCUGGGUCUUUUGCCUCUCCAUAUAAACUUUAGGAUAGUUUUAUCAACAUCCACAAAAUAACUUGCUGGGGUUUUUAUUGGGAUUGCAUUGAAUCAAGCUGGGAAGAACUGACAUCUUGACAAUAUUGGGCUUUCCUAUCCAUAACCUCCAUAACUUUUUCCGCAAUGGCUGUAUUAAAUUACAUUCCUACCAACAAUAUAGAAGAGUUCCCUUUUCUCUGCAUCCUUGCCAUCAUUUGUUACCUUUCAUUUUUUUGAUGAAAGCCAUUCUAAAAGAUAAGAGAUGAUAUCUCAUUGUGAUUUUGUGUUUCCCUAGUGAUUACAGUGACUGAUAAUUUUUUUAUAUAUCUGUUGGCCAUUAGUAUGUCUUCUUUGGGAAAAUAUCUGUCCAAAUCCUGUGUCUAUUUUUAAAUUGGGUUUUCUUGCUAUUGAAUUGUUUGUGUUCCUUAUAUAUUUUGCAUAUUAACCCCUAUGAGAUGUAUGGUUUGCAGAUUUGUUUUCCUGGCCUGGAAGUUGUCUCUUCAUUUUGUUAAUUGUUUCCUUUGCUGGGCAUAAGGUUUUUAAUUUGAUGACAUUCUACUUGUCUAUUUCUACUUUUGUUUGUGUUUUUGGGGUCUUAUUAAAAAAUUAUUGUCUAGACCAAUGUUGUGGAGCUUUUCCUCUAGUAGUUUUAUAGUUUCAGAUUUUAUGUUGAAGUUUUUAAUCCAUUUUGAGUUGAUUUUUGUAUAUUGGGUGAGAUAAGGAUCUAAUUUCAUUUUGCAAGUUGAUAACCGGUUUUCCCAAAACCAUUUAUUGAAGAUACUGUCUUUCUCCCAUUGUGUUCUCUUGGCACCUUUGUCCAAAAUCAAUUGAUUGUAAAUGUGUGAGUUUAUUUAUGAACAUUUAAUUCUGCUCCAUUGGCUGAUGUGUCUGUUUUUAUGCCAGUAUUAUGCUGUUUUGAUUAUAAUCACUUUAUAAUCUAUUUUGAAGUCAGGGAUUGUAAUGCCUCCAGCUUUGUUCUUUUUGCUCAAGAUUUUUUGUAUGUGGCUAUUCAGUGUCUUUUUGUGGUUCUAUAUGGAUUUAAGGAUUUUUUCCCCCUAUUUCUAUGAAAAAUGACAUUGGAAUUUUAAUAGGAAUGGAAUUGAACCUGUAGAUGGGUUUAGGUAGCAUACAUUUUAACAGUCUUAGUUCUUUCAACCCUUGAACACAGGGUAUAUUUCCAUUUAUUUGUGUUUUCUUCAAUUUCUUUCACUAGUGUUUUAUAGAUUUCAGCAUACAGGUCUUUCAACAUCUUGGUUAAAUUUAGACAAUAUUUUUGGUGCUAUUGUAAAUGGGCUUUUUUUCUUCAUUUCCUUUUAAGUUAAUUGCCUAUUGGCAUAUAGAGUCACUACUGAAUUUUUUUGAUAAUUUUCUAUCCUGCAAUUUUACUGAAGUCAUUUAUCAGUUCUAACUGUUUUCUUUUGUGAGGUAGCUUGGAUUUUCUGUAUAUAAAAUCAUGUCAUCAGCAAAUAGAGACAAUCUCACCUCUUCUUUUCCUAUAAAGAUGCCUUUUAUUUCUUCUUGUUCUUCUAGGAUAAGUCUACUUUUCUUCCACGUAACAACCACAGGAUAUAUGACAUUCAUUUUCUAAGAAACAAAAUCUUGGCAGUUAGAUCCGUGGGGUAAAGAAUAUAGAUACUAAUGUAAGUUAACACCUCAAGUUCAUGUCCUUGAUUUGGAUGCUUUGUUCGGGAGUGUUUAGUGGUAUUUCAAAGGAAUCAACAUCUGUAACAGAAAUUAAAAUAACCAGGAAUGGACCAGUGAUGGAAAUGUGUUCUGAAAAUAUGUUUAAUAUAAUUUGGCACAACUGAAGUGAUAAAAAUAUAGUAGCUAGACCAUUUAUAUUCACAAUUAUUUAACAUUGUAUCUAAUUUUCUACCUCAAAUUAUUUAAUCUUUUCCAUAUUGGUAUGGUCCUGGCCGAUAACUCUUUGUGUGGCAGCCUGAGAGAAUAUGGAAGACAUUGUCAGUGCUGGAAGAUGGUGGUUUUAUCACUUUUCAUUGCACUAUCUUUAAAACAUGGGCAAAUUGGCUAAAAGAAGACUACAGAAGAAAUAAUGGUGAUUGUGAAUUUGGUAUGAAGCAUGGAUGUUAAUUAAUCACACAUGUUCUCUGAGGUCCAUUGUAAAAGGAGACCUAGUCUUUAGGGAGAGAGCCACUAAUGGGGAUAUCUUAUUCCUAUAAUUUUGUGGUUAUAUUAUUAUUCAUGAACCAAUGAAUAAUAAAUGAAUGAUCUAAAGGAAGAAAAACGUGCUUGGACCAAUGAUGAGUACCAUGGGGUAUCUGAAACAGGAUUUUUGAUUAAACCCAUAUGCAAUUCUGAGGUCCAUUACAAAGAGACACGUAUUAUUCCUUUUUGGGAAGUGAGCCUAUGGUACCUUUUCCUUGGACUUCGUGGUUCUUGGGGAUGGAUUGCAUUUUUGUUAUAAAAUCAGCCCACGAAUUAAAAAUUUAUCAAUGAGUAAAACAAAAAGCAUAAGUCAUGUACUUAUUAUCAGUGAAUGUAAUGAAACAUGAAUUAUUAUUAAAACUUAUCUGAGACUCCCAAUAAAUUAAUACCCAAGGCUUCUACCACUCUGGUAAGGAGCAUAUGGUCAUUUGUAUCCAAGAGUCAAAGUUUUUGUUCUGUGUUGGUGGUGGGUUGCUGACUAUUUCAUUAAGAAAAUUAAGCAUCUUAAGUGGUGAAAUAACCACUUAAUUGAGACCAAGCAGAGACCAAUGAUGAGUGUAUUAAUCUAUUUUUAAUGGAUUUUUAUUAAACAAAUAAAAAAGAAACAUAGUCUAUUCUUUCUGAGGGCAAUGACUCUAGACAGAUGUAAAUAUUCUUCAGUGUUCUUGUCCAGUGCUGUGAGAGCACAGAUACUGAUGUCUUUUGUAUAUGAGAAGGAAGGUGCACUUUUAUGUCUCAGUUUAUAUUUUAGAGUCAGCAAACCAUGGACCAAUUAGGAACAAAUGUUAUGAGAAUGCCGAUUCUUGUUUUUUUUCAUGAUAGACAUUCUAAGAAAAACUCUAGGCUCUUUCAUUGUUUUUGGGAUACAUACAUGGUCCUUUCCAAGUAGUUUCUUAGAAAAAUGUUUUUAAAAAGAGGCUUUUAAAAAGAGCCUUUUAAAAUGUUUUUAAAACAAGACUUUAUUUUUCUCUAUAGAAUGAAAACCAUGUAGCUGGUUUUAUUAUUCUCUAAUCACGAAGACCAUUAUUGUUAUUUGUGGACUAACGAGCAGAAAGACUGAUAAUGGACAUAGGCCAGCUGAUUUAAUAAUUUAAGAAAGAACUGUUAUCCUGAGUAAGGAGCAUAGAGACAAAUAUAAAAUGAACGCACUCUACCUGAUUUAAUUAUAGUCUUCUGGUGAAGAUCUUGCUGUUAUCUCUGUGAAUCAGGAGAGAAGAGAUCGAUAAAGAAUAGACGAGAUUGGAUUUGGUCAUUUCCCCAAGGUGAAGAGCACGGGGAUUUCUUCUGUGAAUGAAGACCAUGGUUGAUUUAAUCAGUCUCUGCUGAUGAAGAUCUUGGCUGUUACCUUUGUGUGUAAGGAAGCUAAAGACUUAAGUAAAUAACAGUCAAAAAACUUGUCAAUUAGGAAUGGAUGCGCAAUGAUUCAAUUAUUCUCCAACGGGGAAGAUCAUGGUUGUUGUCUGUUUGAGUAAUGAGUGUAGAAACCUACAAUGGAGGCGUGAUGGCUGAUCCAAUCAUAUUCCACUGAUGAAGGUUUUGAUGGCUACCUAUAAUGAACAGCCCUAUCUGAUUUGAGCACUGUGCAAUGACCGUGAACUGUACGGUUACCUCCGUGUGUCACAGGAAGACUCUUAAUGAACACCCUCAAGUUGACUUAAGCACUCUUCCGUGGUCACGAGGUUUCUGGUUGCCUCUGUGUGUUAGAAGCUUGGAGACCAAUGCCUUCUGCUGUGAUCGCGUUCUCCACAGUUGCCUCUGGGUAGGAGCCUGGACACUAAUGGAAAAUGGAUGCACUUGAGCCGACCUAAGCAUUCAUGGUCAUGAGAUUUGUGGUUGCCACUGUUGGUUAGGAGCAUAGAGAUCAGUAAUGGACACACCCGGGCUGGCAGAACAUCUGACCUUGAUCUGGAGCCCCAUGUCUGCCCCUCUGUAGAGGGGCACAUGGGCCAAUGAUGGAUGAAAUGAGCAGAGCAUUUUGCUGUGAUCAAGGCUCUGUUGCCUCUGUGUUAGGCCAAUAAUGGACGCACCUGAACUGACCUACGCAUUUGCAAGCUCCAUGGCUGUCCCGGUGUUUGGAGCAUGGAGACCGAUUUGAGUUAUAGUCACUGUUCUUGCCUUGGUUUUGGUGGCUUAUUUAGGAUACUCGCUGAAUACUUUUAAAAAAAGUAUUAAAUAUAACCAAAGAAGGCCAACUGUGGCCCAAUGAUAAAUAUGGUUUUGACAUGAAAUAUUAUGUUGAUUGAUCAAUUUUUGUAACAAUGGGAAUGAUUAAUGAAAGAGGUAUAUUCAGUGACAUACACAUAUGUCACUAAAUGAAUGAUGUGAUUUCGUAGAUAGAUAUUAGGGAUAUAAGAGUCUCUUUUCUAUGAGAUUUUGUGAUUCACAGAUAAUUAUUUUAUUAUGUUUGAUGAAUUGAGAAUUAAUUAAUUAGCAAAUAUACAGUAGUAUGAAGAAAAAGACGUGUAAACCUGAACCAAUGAUUGAUGGUUUAGGAGUCAUGGGUGAUGAAUAAUAUGUGUCUGGAACCUAAAGUUUUGCAGAAAACAAACUCUGAUCUAUUUCCUAGGGUCAUUUGCAAAUGACAAUGUUUGAAAUGAUAGAUUGAUGUUAAUAAUGUGUAAGAAUCUACUUAUUUUGGAUUCAUGGAUUUAUAUAUUGUUAUUAUUUAAAAUUGAUCCAUGAUGAAAGUAUUAAACAUAUAAUUCGACAAAUAUGAAGAUAGAGAGAUGGACUUCAACCAUGUGAUGAUUCAAGAUAUAAUAUCAACAUAAAAUGAAACACUAGCUCCCAACAUGGUGAAACCCUGUCUCUAUUAAAAAUACAAAAAACUAUAUGGAUGUGGUGGUGCACGCCUGUAAUCCCAGCUACUCGGGAGGCUGAGGCAGGAGAAUCACUUGAACUUGGGAGGUGGAGGUUGCAGUGAGCCGAGAUUGCGCCAUUGCACUCCCGCCUGGGCAACAAGAGCAAAACUCUGUCUAAAAAAAAAAAAAAAAGAAAUGGACCCAAGGGUGUUACCUCUUUUUGGUUAGUGAUCAUAUAGAUGCUGGGUAGUAGGAAUUUUAUUGCUUGGAGCAGUCCUUUUGAGGUUGUUUUGUUCAGAAUGAACAUAUAUGUUAUGAAAAAUUAAUAAAUACCUAAAUUACUGGGAAAGCAAAGAUCAACAAAAAGGUCUUAGUUUUUAAAAUCAGCUGCUUUGCUUUGUAUUUCUUAGAAGGGAUGCACUGGUGCUGAUUUAAGAAUUCUCUCAUAGUCACAAGAUGUAUGGUUGCCUCUGUGUAGGUUCCUGGAAACCAAUGUGAGUAUGAGUCAAUAUUCUUGUCUUGGUUUGAGUGUUUUUUAAGAGGUAUCACUGUGUUGUUAUACACUUUGGCAUAUAAUUAGUUAAUGUCUUAAGAAUGGGAUUGAUGUAAUGCAUUAUGUUGAUUAAUCUAUAUGUGAAACACUGCAUUAAAUUAAUUAAAUGUAUCUAGUGUCUAUGGGAAAUAAUUUAGUAGACAGAUAUUAGAUAUUCAAGAGUCUUGCUCUUGAGUUUUUCUGACUCUUUGGUAUUUACUUAUUCUUAUUAGUGAGUUGAUGAAUUAAUCUAUCAAUAAGUGAAGACAUGAAUGAAGAAAAAGAGCUCCAAGUCUGGACCAAAGAUGAAGUUUGGUGAUGUAGGAAUUAUGAACAAUAAAUACCUGUGUUUGGAACUUUGAGGUCCGACAUGAAAACUAGUUUACUCCCUAUGAUGGUUGAUGUUCACGGGUGAUUGAUCCUCCUGUAGUGUCGGUGGUAUUGACUGUUCCCCAGAGGACAAGGAGUGUGUUCUUGCGUGGAGGCUGUCUUCAGUAGGAUCAUGGAGACCAACAAUGGAUGCUCUUAAACUGCUUUAAGCACACUUCCAUGGUCACAAGCCUUAUGGUUGCCACGGGGCGUGGAGACCAACAAUGGAUGUUCUUGUUCUGAUUUGAGGAUGCCUCCAAGGUCACAUACUCUUAUUUGCACCAUGCUUAGGAAGGAGCAUGAAGACCAAGGGAAGAUGAUAAACACAGAUCAAGGAGGACUGUUUCAUCUGUUUGUGAUCUGCUCUGCUCUGUGAGCCUCAGGAUGGAUGUUUGCCAGCCGAUUCCGUGGUUACAAGCUCUACAGCUGCAUCUAUGUGGUAGGAGCAUGAAGACCAACAAUGGAUGCACUGAGCUGAUUAUGAAUUUAGCCCUGAUCAAGACUUGUGUUGCUGUCAUGAUAUGAAAGAUUCCAGUAAUGAACGCACUUGAGUUGAUUCAAGCACGCUUCCAUGGCCAUGAGCUCUGUGGUUGCAUCUGUGUGUUAGGAGUAUGCAGACCAAUAUGGAUCAGAAUGGAUGCAUCAAGUGGGCUUCUGCUUGAUGGAAACCUGUAUUGCUGUUGUGUUUGGAAAGAAACUAAUGUGAGUAAUAGCCAAAAUUUUUGUCUUCCUUUGGGUACUUGUCUAAAGGUAUUCACAGUAUUAUUAAAAAUUUUAAAUUAUUAUAAUUAACCAUGGCCCAAUGAUUAACAUAAUAUAGAAGAGUAUGUUUAUUAAUCAAUAAUGUGCCACGUAGAGGUGAAUGAAUGAAAGUGACAUUGUCUAAUGUGGAAAAGGAUUCUGUAGUCAGAUGCUUGGUAUGUCUGGCAUCGUGUUCAUAGGUUUUUGUGAAUCAUGUUCUUAUUUUACUCUUAUAAAUUGAUUAAUGAUUUAUUCAAAACAAAGGUAGAAAUGAAUGAAAAUUGAGACUAAUGAUGGCAUGAGCCAUAUACAAUGAGUAAAACAUGUCUGGACUUUGAUGUCCAACACAAAAGACAUAUAUUCCAUAUUCUUGAUAUAAGGCGUCCGUUAGGCCCAUGUUGGGAAUAUCCAAGGAUCUUGGGCUUGAUCUUUGUGUUCAUAUAUUUUCAUUCUAGUAUUAUAAUUGGAUCAAUGAAAUAACCAGUCAAUAAGUAAAUAAAUUAAUGGAGUAUUGUUCAAAUUAAAAAUAUGUAGUGAGCAAAAAUACACUACUAAUAUAUUAUGAAAACACUAAAUUCUAAUUUGAAAUACAUUUUACAUGACUCUUACCUCCUUAGCUCAGGAUGGUGUAGAUGGUAUAAGUUACAGACACUGUUCAUGUUCUGGAUAGAUGGCGAUUUUGAAUUUAUUCAUUCUCUUAAGAGAAAAAAAUACUCUAAAUGUGUGAUUACUGAAAUGACUGACUAAAGGUGAAAAGCAAGGAUCAAUGGAGAGAACGUCUCAGAUGUCUAUUCUCCUUCUUCGUUUUAAAAUCAUCUGUUCUGUCCUGUAUUUCUCACACUGGACUCAUCUGAGCUGAUUUAAGAAUUCUCACAUGGCUAUGACUGUAUGACUGAAUCUCUAUUAAGACCAAUGUGAGUAAGAGUCAAAAUUUUUGUCAUGGCUUCGGUGGUUUGUUUAAGGAUGUUCACUAUAUUAUUAAAAAGUGUGAAAUAUAAUCACAAAAGGCCUAAUGUAAACAUCAUAAUUUGGGAUUAACAUGAAUCAUUAUACUGAUUAAUGCAUAUAUGAAAAACAGAGGAUAAAUUAUAAAAUUUAAAUACUGAUAUGUGAAUAAUGAUGGAUACCUAACAAAUUGGUAUGCUUUUGUUGGAGGUUUGUGAAUCGCAGGCUUUAAAAAAUAUUAUCAGUGAAUUUAUGAAUUAAUCAAUAAACAAUGUAGUGAAGAAUGAAGAGAAAGGGGGCCUUCCUGGACCAAUGAUGUCAACUGCCGGCGUAUGAGUGUUGGGUGAUGAAUAAUACGUGUCUAGAACUCUGAGGUCCAGCAUACAAAACACCUCAAUAAGCAAGGAUCAGUGGAGGAAUAUCUAGUUUAAAAAAAAUCAUCUUCUAUUUUUUGUACUCCUCAGAGUGAUAAUCUCGAGGUGAUUUAUGCAUUCUUCCAUGGCCACCAGCCUUAUGGUUGCAUCUCUGCGUUAGAGCCUAGAGAUCAAUGUGAGUAAUAGUCAAAGUUCUUGGUGUGGUUUAGGUGGUUUAAGGUAUUCACUGCGUUACUAAAAAGUGUGAAAUAUAAUCACAUAACGCCCGCUGUUACAAAAGACAAAUAUGAAGCAUUAUAUUGAUUAAUACAUGUGUGAAAAGCUGAGGAUAAUUAAAGCAGGAGAUACACGGAGAUGAGAUGAUAAUAUGUACAGAUAAAGAAUAUCAAGGCUGUUCUUGGGGUUUUGUGAAUCAUAGGGUUUUAAUUUAUUGUUAGUGAACUAAUGAUUAAAUCAACAGACAAUAUAGAAAUGAAUGGAGAAAAGGAGGCCCAAUCCUGGAUCGAUGAUGACCACUGGUGGCAUAUGAGUCAUACAUGAUGAAUAUGGGUCUGGAACUCUGAGGUCCUUCACAAAAGAAAUCAGGUCUUUUUGUUCAUACAUUCUUAUGUGAUUAUUAUGAUUGGGUCAAUGAAAGAAUCAGUAAACAAAUUUAUAAAUGAAUCAAGGUAAAAUGGGGGAAACAUUGUCUAAUUAUAAAAAUUUGUAGUGAUGCAAGGAAUUUUGUUAAUAUAUAUAGAAAACACUAAAAUCCAAAGAGAAGUAAAUGGUACAUAAUGGUUUAUUUUGGCAAAGGAUGAUAUGGACAGUAUUAAUUAGAUAAUGUUUUUGUUCUGGGUCAGUAGCAAGUUCAAAAUUGUUCAUUUUAAGAGAAAAGGAAAUAAAUAUCCUCCAAGUAAUGAUUGCCUGAAUUAAUGAUUAAAUGGAAGAUGAUAGGCAAGGAUCAAUGGAGGAUUUUCUCAUUUUUUAGUCAUCUGUUUUGCUCUGCACUCCUCAGAAUGGAUGCUUUAGAGGUGAGUCAAUCUCUCAUCCCUGCUCACCAGCACGUUGGCUGUAUCUCGUGUUAGAAUAUGAAGGCCAAUGUGAGCAAUAGUCAAUGUUCUUGUCUUUACUGGUGUAGCUUUUUAAAAAAGAUAUUUCCUAUAUUAUUAAAAUGUCUUAAAUAUAACCAAAGAGACCCAAACAUGCCAAUUUUACUAUCAGAUUGAUAGACAUAUUGUACUGAUUGGUCAAUAUAUGGACCAAAGAAGAUAGUUACCACAGAAGAUGGUAAUGAAGAGAUUUAGUCUGUGGAAAUGAAUCUGUAGAUGAAUGUUAGGAAUCUUUAUGAAUAUUAUUCUUGUAUUUACUGACUGAUGUGUAUUUCUUAUUAAUAAAUUAAUCAAUGGAUAAAUUUGUAUUAGUGCAAAAUCAAAGAGAUCCUGGACUGAUGAUGACUACUGGUAUGAGUCAUGCAUAAUGAACACCACGUGUCUGGAACUCUGAGUUCCAACACAGAUGGGGUGUAAUCCAUUCCCCAUUUCGAAGGGAUCUUAUGCACUGAUGUCAGAAUAUAUGAGGACCUUGUUGUUGAUAUUUGUGUUCAUGAAUUUUAAAAAUAUUAUUGUAAAUGAAUCAAGGGCAGAAUAAACAAAUUUGUAAAUUAAUAGAGAUGAAGAGGGUGAAGCACUGUUUAUUACUAAGCUUCAUAGUAAGGAAAAUGAAUAUUAAUAGAAAUGGAAUAGGUAAUAAAUUGAUCAAGGAUAUUAUGUCUUGGACUAAGGAUGACAUAGACUGUAAUAGGUAACAGUUCUUGCUCUCAUUUAGUUGCAAGUUUUGAAGUUUAUUACUUGCAAAAUACAUAAAUAUUAGCAUAAAUUAAUAAAAGCCUAAAAGGCAGUGUUAACAAAUGGUAGACAACGUGGAUCAAUGGAGAGAACAUCUCAAUGUUUUUCUGUGCUUUCUACUCUUCAGAAUGGAUGCAGCGAGCUGUUUCAAGCGUUCGGUUGGGAUCAAGAUUGUUGUGUCACCUCUGUGUUUGGAAAGAGACCAAGAAUGGAUACGCUCAGGUGAUUUAAGCAGUCUUCCAUGGCCAUGAGCUCUGUGGUUGCCUCUGUAUAUUAAGAGCACAGAGAUUAAAAACGGACCCACUCAAGCUGACUUCAGAAUUCCUCCUUGGUCACAAGCUUUUUGAUUGCAUGUCUGCAUUAGGAGCCUAGAGAACAAUAAUGGGUGCACUUGAGCCGAUUGAAACAUUCCUCCUUGCAUCUUUGUUCUAUGAUUGCAUCUAUUUGUUAGUAGCAUAGAGACCAAUAAUGGACAUCCUUGUUCUGUCUUGAGAAUUCCUCUAGGGUCACAUGCUCUGUUUGCACCAUGCUUAGGAAGGAGCACGGAGACCAACAAUGAUGCACUUUUUAUGAUUUGCGAAUUCCUCCAUGGUCACGUGCUCUGUUUUUAUCAUGGUUGGGAGCCUGCAGACCAAUGUGAGUAGUAAUCAACAUUCUCAUCUUGGCCCGAAUGGUUUGUUUAAGAGGACUCAGGGUAUUAUCAAAAAGCCUAUAAUAUCAACAGAAUGGUCAACUGUAUUUAAGUGAGAGAUAUUGGGGUGAUAUGAAGCAUUAUAUUGAUAAUGCAUAUAUGAAAAAUUGAGGGUAAUGCAACAGAUAUAUCGAUGUUAGAAUGAUUCCAUGUACAGAUUGGGAAUAUCAAGGCUCUUCUUGGAGCUCUUUGAAUCAGACUCCUUAAUGUUGUUAUUAGUGAAUUGGUAAAUUAAUCACAAAAAUAUAGGCAUGAAUGGAGAAAAGGAAGACCAAUCCUGGAUCGAUGAUGACUACUGGUGGCGUAUGAGUCAUAGACAAUGAAUACGUGUCUGGAACUCUGAGGUCCAUCACAGUGGAAAUGUAUACAUUCCUUCUGCUUAAAAUGAUGUUAUAGACAGAUUUCAGAAAUAUAGAAUGUACUUAUUUUUCUUGGCGGUUGUGUAUUUUUGUUCUAUUUUUAUAAUUGGAUCAAUGAAAGUAAUCAAUAACAUAUAAAUAAAAUGGCACAUAGUCUAAUAAUAAAAAUAUCUGGUGAAGCAGGAUAUUCUAUUAAUAUAAAAAACAGUGAAGUCGAAAGAUAAAUAAUGGUUUUAUUUGUUAUCUAUUUGGCUAAUUACGAUAUAGACAUUAUAAAUUAUAGACAAUAUGUGUGUUCUGGGUCAGAGGCAGGGUGAAAAGCCAGGAUCAGUAGUAGGAAUGUCUCAUAUUGUUAUCAUGAGACAUUCUUCUCUGCUCUGUACACCUCAGAAGGGACAUGCCUUUGCUGAUUUGAGGAUUCCUCUGAGGUCGGGAGCUAAGUUUGCGCCAUGCUUAGAAAGGAGUGUGCAGAUCUGUGAUUCCUUCAAGUCCAUGUGCUCCACUUGCACUAUUUUUAGGAUGGAGCCUGGAGACCUAUAAUGAACAACUUGUGCUAUGUUAAGGAUUCCUCCAUGAUCACGCGUCCCGUUUGUACACCAUGCUUGGGAAGGUGCAUGCAGACCAAUAAUGGACGUACUUGUGAUGAUUUAAAGAUGCCUCCAAGGUCACGUGCUCUGUUUGCACCAUGCUUACGAAGGAGCGUACAGACCAAUAAUGGAUGAAUUACGCACCUUGAAAAGUUCUUCCAUGGUCACCUGAGGCAUCUGCGUCGUGAUUAGGCUCAGGAAGACUAAUAAUGGAUGUACUUGUUCUGAUUUGAGGACUUCUUCAUGGUCAUGUGUUCUGUUUGCACGAUGCUCAGGAAGGAGCAUGUGUACCAGUAAUGGAAGCACAGAAGCUGGUUUUCACUAGUUAAGAGCUGUAUGGUCCAUCUCUGUGCUAGAAGCUGGAGACCAAUGACAGUCACUCCCUGCACUGAUUCUGCCAUGACCACUUGCUCUACGGUUGUUUUAAGGAACCUACAGAAAAAUUUCCAUAGAAUGAACACACUCAUCACUACAAUGAUUCUGUAAUGAUGAAGACCUUUAUGGGUCCAUGAUGGGUAGACCAGAGCUGAUUCAAUUAUUCUCCCGUGAUGAGGAACUUUACCUUAUCCCUCAGAGUAAGGAGAAUGUCAUGUAAUGUAAGUAAUAAAGUUCUUGAGUUGGGUUGUUAGUUCAUGAUUUCUAUUGUCAUUUAAAAAGAUAAUUAAAUUUUAAAAGGUCAUACAUAGGCUUAUGAUGAGAAUGUGUUAUGGACCGAAAUUAAUCCAAUUUAGCACAAAUGAAGUAUAAGAAAAAAACUUAGCUUUUCCAUUCAUUUUCAGUAGUUAAAUGUCACAUUGUAUGUUUGUCUCAUUGAUUAUUUAAAGACUCUUCUCUUGAUAAAGGCUGUUACUCAUUUAUGGAGUCAGAAUUCUAGUUGUUGAGUAGGAUGGUGGUUCAAGUUUUUCAUUUGAUAUCUAAAAAUUGUUCAAAUUAAAUGUAGAGGGGCCAUGUCUGGACCAAUGAUGUGAAUGGAAUGCAUCUGAAUAAAAAUUAUGAUCAAUCAGUUUUUGAACAACUGAGGUCCACUGCGAAAAGAA